rnacentral:rRNA from 1 species
GACGAACGCUGGCGGCGUGCUUAACACAUGCAAGUCGAACGGAAAGGCCCUGCUUUUGUGGGGUGCUCGAGUGGCGAACGGGUGAGUAACACGUGAGUAACCUGCCCUUGACUUUGGGAUAACUUCAGGAAACUGGGGCUAAUACCGGAUAGGAGCUCCUGCUGCAUGGUGGGGGUUGGAAAGUUUCGGCGGUUGGGGAUGGACUCGCGGCUUAUCAGCUUGUUGGUGGGGUAGUGGCUUACCAAGGCUUUGACGGGUAGCCGGCCUGAGAGGGUGACCGGCCACAUUGGGACUGAGAUACGGCCCAGACUCCUGCGGGAGGCAGCAGUGGGGAAUAUUGCACAAUGGGCGGAAGCCUGAUGCAGCAACGCCGCGUGCGGGAUGACGGCCUUCGGGUUGUAAACCGCUUUCGCCUGUGACGAAGCGUGAGUGACGGUAAUGGGUAAAGAGGCACCGGCUAACUACGUG